AAAAAGUGAGAGAGGGGUGGGGAGAGUAGAGAUCCGUCAGCCAUCGAGCCACCGCAUUGGUACAGCGCCGCUUGGGUGUCGAGGUGGCUAAUCACCAGAUGGGAGUAGAGGGGAUGUAAGUGAGAGAGAGAGAGAGAAAGAGGGGAGGCAGAUUUUGAUGUAAACGAGAGAGAUUUAAAUUUAUUCAAAUAAAAGAUAUUAUCAGAGC
rnacentral:lncRNA from 1 species